UACGAAGGGGGCUAGCGUUGUUCGGAAUUACUGGGCGUAAAGCGCACGUAGGCGGAUAUUUAAGUCAGGGGUGAAAUCCCAGAGCUCAACUCUGGAACUGCCUUUGAUACUGGGUAUCUUGAGUAUGGAAGAGGUAAGUGGAAUUGCGAGUGUAGAGGUGAAAUUCGUAGAUAUUCGCAGGAACACCAGUGGCGAAGGCGGCUUACUGGUCCAUAACUGACGCUGAGGCGCGAAAGCGUGGGAGCGAACCGG
rnacentral:rRNA from 1 species